UGGGGAAUAUUGCACAAUGGGGGAAACCCUGAUGCAGCGACGCCGCGUGAAGGAAGAAGUAUCUCGGUAUGUAAACUUCUAUCAGCAGGGAAGAUAAUGACGGUACCUGACUAAGAAGCCCCGGCUAACUACGUGCCAGCAGCCGCGGUAAUACGUAGGGGGCAAGCGUUAUCCGGAUUUACUGGGUGUAAAGGGAGCGCAGACGGCAUGGCAAGCCAGAUGUGAAAGGUGGGGGCUCAACCCCCAAGCUGCAUUUGGAACUGUCAAGCUAGAGUAUCGGAGAGGUAAGUGGAAUUCCUAGUGUAGCGGUGAAAUGCGUAGAUAUUAGGAGGAACACCAGUGGCGAAGGCGGCUUACUGGACGAUAACUGACGUUGAGGCUCGAAAGCGUGGGGAGCAAACAGGAUUAGAUACCCUGGUAGU
rnacentral:rRNA from 1 species